rnacentral:rRNA from 1 species
UGCCAGCCGCCGCGGUAACACGUACUGUGCGAACGUUAUUCGGAAUCACUGGGCGUAAAGGGCGUCUAGGCGGAAUCAUAAGUCAGGGGUGAAAGCACGCGGCUCAACCGCGUGUCUGCCUUUGAAACUGUGGUUCUUGAGUGCGGAAGAGGUGCGGGGAAUUCCCAGUGUAGCGGUGAAAUGCGUAGAUAUUGGGAAGAAUGCCGGUGGCGAAGGCGCCGCACUGGUCUAGCACUGACGCUGAAGCGCCAAAGCGUGGGGAGCAAACAGGAUUAGAUA